rnacentral:rRNA from 1 species
AUUGAACGCUGGCGGCAGGCCUACACAUGCAAGUCGAACGAGUGGCGGACGGGUGAGUAAUGUCUGGGAAACUGCCUGAUGGAGGGGGAUAACUACUGGAAACGGUAGCUAAUACCGCAUACCAUCAGAUGUGCCCAGAUGGGAUUAGCUAGGUGGUGGGGUAACGGCGCACCAAGGCGACGAUCCCUAGCUGGUCUGAGAGGAUGACCAGCCACACGGGAACUGAGACACGGUCCAGACUCCGACGGGGGGCAGGGGUGGGUAAUAUUGCACAAUGGGGGCAAGCCUGAUGCAGCCAUGCGGCGUGUAUGAAGAAGGCCUUCGGGUUGUAAGGUACUUUCAGCGGGGAGGCGUUACCCGCAGAAGAAGCACCGGCUAACGCCGUGCCAGCAGCGGCGGUAAUAC